UGGAUCGUGACAUUUCAAAAC
rnacentral:piRNA from 1 species